CACUAUCGUUAACUGAAUACAUAGGUUAACGAGGCGAACCGGGGGAACUGAAACAUCUAAGUACCCCGAGGAAAAGAAAUCAACCGAGAUUCCCCCAGUAGCGGCGAGCGAACGGGGGGCAGCCCAGAGUCUGAAUCAGCUUGUGUGUUAGUGGAACGGUCUGGAAAGUCCGACGGUACAGGGUGAUAGUCCCGUACACCAAAAUGCACAGGUUGUGAACUCGAAGAGUAGGGCGGGACACGUGGUAUCCUGUCUGAAUAUGGGGGGACCAUCCUCCAAGGCUAAAUACUCCUGACUGACCGAUAGUGAACCAGUACCGUGAGGGAAAGGCGAAAAGAACCCCGGCGAGGGGAGUGAAAAAGAACCUGAAACCGUGUACGUACAAGCAGUGGGAGCACCUUCGGGUGUGACUGCGUACCUUUUGUAUAAUGGGUCAGCGACUUAUAUUCUGUA
rnacentral:rRNA from 1 species